AGCGAACGCUGGCGGCAUGCCUAACACAUGCAAGUCGCACGGGGGGGCUUCGGCCUCCCAGUGGCGGACGGGUGAGGAACGCGUAGGGACCUGUCGAGGGGUGGGGGAUAACCGCGGGAAACUGCGGCUAAUACCGCAUGACGCCGCGGCGUGACAGCCGGGGCCAAAGGCGAAAGCCGCCCGCCGAGGGGCCUGCGUCCGAUUAGCUGGUUGGCGGGGUAGCGGCCCACCAAGGCGUCGAUCGGUAGCUGGUCUGAGAGGGUGAUCAGCCACACCGGGACUGAGACACGGCCCGGACUCCCACGGGAGGCAGCAGUGGGGAAUAUUGGACAAUGGGCGCAAGCCUGAUCCAGCAAUGCCGCGUGGGUGAAGAAGGUCUUCGGAUUGUAAAGCCCUUUCGGCGGGGACGAUGGUGACGGGACCCGCAGAAGAAGCCCCGGCUAACUUCGU
rnacentral:rRNA from 1 species